UGCAAUGUCAUAGGUCUCUGUGACAAUC
rnacentral:piRNA from 1 species